UGGGGAAUAUUGGACAAUGGGCGCAAGCCUGAUCCAGCCAUACCGCGUGGGUGAAGAAGGCCUUCGGGUUGUAAAGCCCUUUUGUUGGGAAAGAAAUCCAGCUGGUUAAUACCCGGUUGGGAUGACGGUACCCAAAGAAUAAGCACCGGCUAACUUCGUGCCAGCAGCCGCGGUAAUACGAAGGGUGCAAGCGUUACUCGGAAUUACUGGGCGUAAAGCGUGCGUAGGUGGUUGUUUAAGUCUGUUGUGAAAGCCCUGGGCUCAACCUGGGAACUGCAGUGGAAACUGGACGACUAGAGUGUGGUAGAGGGUAGCGGAAUUCCUGGUGUAGCAGUGAAAUGCGUAGAGAUCAGGAGGAACAUCCAUGGCGAAGGCAGCUACCUGGACCAACACUGACACUGAGGCACGAAAGCGUGGGGAGCAAACAGGAUUAGAUACCCUGGUAGUCCACGCCCUAAACGAUGCGAACUGGAUGUUGGGUGCAAUUUGGCACGCAGUAUCGAAGCUAACGCGUUAAGUUCGCCGCCUGGGGAGUACGGUCGCAAGACUG
rnacentral:rRNA from 1 species